AUAACAUUGCUAGCUUUAUUCUCUAUAACUAUCAUCCUUGUGAUUCUUAGGAUUCUUCCUCAGAAUUUAUCCUUAAUUAUACUAGCUUGUUCAAAAAUUGCUCAUGGCACUCGCUAGUGUUCGCUAUAUCUCUCUGUACACCAACGUUCUGCAAUAUUUUUAAGUAAUACAAUUCUUUGCAUUGUAUUGAUGGUAGAGGCUUUUUUCUCAAUUAUACUAGCUUCAGAGCUUGUUCAAAAAUCGCUCAUGGUGCUCCGCUAUGUUCACUAUCAUUUUCUCUGCUGCUCCAACCUACUCCGAAUUUUCUGAAUAGUACACUUCUUUGCAUUGUAUAGAAGGUGUAGGAAGGCAGACCUAAUCAGUACUCACACGGGGACCAACUGAGAUUCAGAAUGGAAAAAGUUGCCAUAUAUGCACAUCUUUCAGCUGGAGGAUGCUUUUGUCCAUUGUUUUGACACGGCCGGUAAUGCUACUCUGCACUUUAUAUAUAUAUUUUGGAUGAAUAAAAUAUUUUAUUAAGAUCAAGCACAAUACACAAGUAAAACCCCGCUCAAGUACGCAGAGCAAAGAACAAUAAAGAAAAGUUAUAUCCCUACUCAUUCAUUUACACAGGAAAAAAGAAAGACCUUGCUUUAAUCCCUCUUUUUAUAAGCUUGAUGAUGCCUUUCUCUGUUUUAAGCCUUUGAACGUGAAUAAUGGCAUUCCUUUUGUGCCAAAUUUAAUACACCAGAGCACCCAAUAUUAGUUUAAACACCACAGCCCUUAAAGACUCCUCUUUCCAAUAAUUUUCUCUCCAUUGAAUUAUGUGAUCACAGUCAAAUAUGGGAGUUAUGAAUAAAUACCAGCACAUCAAUUUCCUCCAAAUUCUUAUAGAAAUGGAACGCUCAAAAAAUAAAUGGGCUCUACAUUCCAAGCUUUGUCUACACAAAACACAAUUUGAAUCUCCC